rnacentral:lncRNA from 1 species
CUAACUUAGAUGUGAACAUAGAAACAAUUAAAUUAUGACAUGAUAAUAUUAUUCAGUGACCUGUUUAGUGAAGUCAUCAGGGAUAAAAGACAACUAGAAUGAGUAACAGAAUGGGUGACUAAGAAGGGAGACAGUGAUUCAGACUAGUCCUUCAGGCUUUCCUUAAUAGACCAUUACUGUAAAAUCAACAACCAUGUUAACUCAACUUCCAUUACUUACUGUGUUGCAGGCAUUAAAGGAAGCACUAGAAAAAAUAAAUGAAACAUAAAUUCAAUUCUCAAGAAACUUACAAUUUGGUGGGUAGCCCAUUCAGUCAGAUAAAAUAAUAAAUCCCAUUUAAUGUUUUAGGAUUUUUACUAUCUGUAGAGAACAUGGCACACUAGGGACACCAAGAAGGACAUUAUCAGCUCAGUUUAAUUAAGUAUUUUAUUAUCUCUGAAGGUAGUGCCCCAGGGAAAGCUAGGUAAGAAAAUUCCUUAAAGAGAUGAGACAGCAUUUUACAUUCUCUUUCUCUGCGCUGAAUAAGAAGAAAACAACGUUUUUGGAGAGAUGUUCAUUAGGACAGUAUAUAACUGGUAUGUUUAUAGCCAAUUCUGCAGACAGAAGUAACUGGUA